GAUGAACGCUGACAGAAUGCUUAACACAUGCAAGUCAACUGUGGCGGACGGGUGAGUAACGCGUAAAGAACUUGCCUCACGGAUAGGGACAACAUUUGGAAACGAAUGCUAAUACCUGCUACUGUGCGAGAGCUUUGCGUCCCAUUAGCUAGUUGGAGAGGUAACGGCUCACAAAGGCGAUGAUGGGUAGCCGGCCUGAGAGGGUGAUCGGCCACAAGGGGACUGGGACACGGCCCUUAAUCCUACGGGAGGCAGCAGUGGGGAAUAUUGGACAAUGGACAAAAGUCUGAUCCAGCAAUUCUGUGUGUACGAUGAAGUUUUUGGAAUGUAAAGUGCUUUCAGUUGGGAAGCGGUACCAACAGAAGAAGUGACGGCUAAAUACGUGCCAGCAGCCGCGGUAAUUC
rnacentral:rRNA from 1 species